CUGUCAGAAACAGCUGUCCAUUAACGGAGUUUGUGGAAACAACCAGGAGCUGUUUGAAAAUGCUAGGUGGUAGAAUUUAAUUGGAGUAGCAACUGUUCAAAAUUAAGAUUAAAAGGACCAGUCAGUCAACGUGGAUUUCGUGACACCUUAAAAAUAACGUUUCAGGUUUGAUUAAUGCUGCAAGAAGUUUGCACAUUUCUCUCCUUUGCUGAUAGGGCCUGCGUGCUGAUAGUUGAUUCAGUGAAUAUAUGUAGCAGUGAUAGCUCAUGGGCUCCAGAGGUCAGAUAUCUUAUUCUCUAGGCUGAAACCCUUGUUGCUUUAAGGAAACAGGAUUUUAAUAGGAAUCACAUGCAGAUUGACUACAGGGAGCCAAGCGGUAGUGGAAGAAGCAAAGUUGGCGGUUUUGGAGACGGACGUCUAUCUAUCCACAGUGGGACAAAAAUGAAGGUUAUUGAAAAGAAUCAUGCUUGGUGGAAGAAGUAAUUACAUUUUUUUUUCAAAUCUCAGAGGAAUAAUGCUUUUAUAUUUCCUGCGAUGACCCAAUUUGCACUACGAUAUGCUCCCUUAAAUGUGAUUUAAACAGAAGAGAGGACCACCCCGCCAACCAAAUGUCCAGGUCCUAUUCCAUGGAACCUAUGAACAGGUUGUCCCACAUUGCAAAAGGGACUUCACAGAUGUCGAGCUAGAGAAGAUGCGAUAAUGGAAGCGGAAUCAAAGACAGAUUUGAAGAUGCUGCUGUCUUUGGAGAGAAUGGCCAGGAGGCAAGGAACACAAGCAGCCCCUAGAAGUUGGAAAAGGUUUCAAAAGGACUGGUUGAAAACUAAGAUCUUAAAUCAAUUCAUCGUGUUGGGAAUGGAGCAGGAUAGAGAUCGUUCCUGAAGGCCAUAUUCUAAACUUUGUCUGGUACCAAAACAGAGAUAUAGAUCAAUGGAAGAGAACAGAGGCCUCAGAAAUAGCGCUGCGUAUCUAAAACUAUCUGAUCUUUUGACAAACCCGACAAAAACAAGCAAUGGGGAAAGGAUUCCCUAUUUAAUAAAUGGUGCUGGGAAAACUGGCUAGCCGUAUGUAGAAAGCUGAAACUGGAUCCCUUCCUUACGCCUUGUACAAAAAUUAAUUCAAGAUGGAUUAAAGACUUAAACGUUAGACCUAAAACCAUAAAAACCCUAGAAGAAAA
rnacentral:lncRNA from 1 species